UACGUAGGCAGCGAGCGUUGUUCGGAAUUACUGGGCGUAAAGAGUGUGUAGGCGGUGCUCUAAGUUCGGUGUGAAAUCUCCCGGCUCAACUGGGAGUCUGCCGUGGAAACUGCCGUGCUUGAGUCCGGGAGAGGUGAGUGGAAUUCCCAGUGUAGCGGUGAAAUGCGUAGAUAUUGGGAGGAACACCAGUGGCGAAGGCGGCUCACUGGACCGGAACUGACGCUGAGGCGCGAAAGCGUGGGGAGCAAACGGG
rnacentral:rRNA from 1 species